GACGAACGCUGGCGGCGUGCCUAAUACAUGCAAGUAGAACGCUGAAGGAGGAGCUUGCUUCUCUGGAUGAGUUGCGAACGGGUGAGUAACGCGUAGGUAACCUGCCUGGUAGCGGGGGAUAACUAUUGGAAACGAUAGCUAAUACCGCAUAAUAGCAGUUAUUGCAUGAUAACUGUUUGAAAGGUGCAAUUGCACCACUACCAGAUGGACCUGCGUUGUAUUAGCUAGUUGGUGGGGUAACGGCUCACCAAGGCGACGAUACAUAGCCGACCUGAGAGGGUGAUCGGCCACACUGGGACUGAGACACGGCCCAGACUCCUACGGGAGGCAGCAGUAGGGAAUCUUCGGCAAUGGACGGAAGUCUGACCGAGCAACGCCGCGUGAGUGAAGAAGGUUUUCGGAUCGUAAAGCUCUGUUGUAAGAGAAGAAACGAGUGUGAGAAGU
rnacentral:rRNA from 1 species